rfam:Triticum aestivum genome assembly, contig: Triticum_aestivum_CS42_TGACv1_scaffold_049482_1BS
UUUAUACACCCUCCGUCCGAAAAUACUUCUCUAGGAAAUGGGUAAAAAUGGAUGUAUCUACAACUAAGAUAUGUCUAGAUACAUCCAUUUCUUAGACAAGUAUUUUUGGAAGGAGGGAGUAUAAA